rnacentral:rRNA from 1 species
UACGUAGGAUGCAAGCGUUGUCCGGAUUUAUUGGGCGUAAAGCGAACGUAGGCGGUUCGCAGGGUCUGAGGUUAAAGCGUGGGGCUCAACCCCAUUGUUGCCUUGGAAACCGGCGAGCUAGAGGUUGGUAGAGGAAGGUGGAAUUCCCAGUGUAGCGGUGAAAUGCGUAGAUAUUGGGAGGAACACCGGUGGCGAAAGCGGCCUUCUGGGCCAAAACUGACGCUGAGGUUCGAAAGCUCGGGGAGCAAACGGG